rnacentral:rRNA from 1 species
AGAGUGGCGAACGGGUGAGUAAUACGUGAGUAACCUGCCCUUGACUCUGGGAUAAGCCUGGGAAACUGGGUCUAAUACUGGAUACGACGGCGCAUCGCAUGGUGUGUUGUGGAAAGGGUUUUACUGGUUUUGGAUGGGCUCACGGCCUAUCAGCUUGUUGGUGGGGUAAUGGCUCACCAAGGCGACGACGGGUAGCCGGCCUGAGAGGGUGACCGGCCACACUGGGACUGAGACACGGCCCAGACUCCUACGGGAGGCAGCAGUGGGGAAUAUUGCACAAUGGGCGGAAGCCUGAUGCAGCGACGCCGCGUGAGGGAUGACGGCCUUCGGGUUGUAAACCUCUUUCAGCACGGAAGAAGCGAGAGUGACGGUACGUGCAGAAGAAGCGCCGGCUAACUACGUGCCAGCAGCCGCGGUAAUACGUAGGGCGCAAGCGUUGUCCGGAAUUAUUGGGCGUAAAGAGCUCGUAGGCGGUUUGUCGCGUCUGCUGUGAAAGCCCGGGGCUUAACCCCGGGUGUGCAGUGGGUACGGGCAGACUUGAGUGCAGUAGGGGAGACUGGAAUUCCUGGUGUAGCGGUGAAAUGCGCAGAUAUCAGGAGGAACACCGAUGGCGAAGGCAGGUCUCUGGGCUGUUACUGACGCUGAGGAGCGAAAGCAUGGGGAGCGAACAGGAUUAGAUACCCUGGUAGUCCAUGCCGUAAACGUUGGGCACUAGGUGUGGGGAACAUUCCACGUUUUCCGCGCCGUAGCUAACGCAUUAAGUGCCCCGCCUGGGGAGUACGGCCGCAAGGCUAAAACUCAAAGGAAUUGACGGGGGCCCGCACAAGCGGCGGAGCAUGCGGAUUAAUUCGAUGCAACGCGAAGAACCUUACCAAGGCUUGACAUACACCGGACCGGGCCAGAGAUGGUCUUUCCCCCUUGUGGGGCUGGUGUACAGGUGGUGCAUGGUUGUCGUCAGCUCGUGUCGUGAGAUGUUGGGUUAAGUCCCGCAACGAGCGCAACCCUCGUUCUAUGUUGCCAGCACGUGAUGGUGGGGACUCAUAGGAGACUGCCGGGGUCAACUCGGAGGAAGGUGGGGAUGACGUCAAAUCAUCAUGCCCCUUAUGUCUUGGGCUUCACGCAUGCUACAAUGGCCAGUACAAUGGGUUGCGAUGCCGUGAGGUGGAGCUAAUCCCAAAAAGCUGGUCUCAGUUCGGAUCGUGGUCUGCAACUUGACCACGUG